rnacentral:rRNA from 1 species
GACAGAGGGUGCAAACGUUGUUCGGAAUUACUGGGCGUAAAGCGCGCGCAGGCGGUCCGCGAGGUGUCACGUGAAAGCCCCGGGCUCAACUCGGGAGGGUCGUGGCAAACCGGCGGACUUGAGGCCGGUAGAGGUGGGUGGAACUCCUGGUGGAGUGGUGAAAUGCGUAGAGAUCAGGAAGAACACCCGUGGCGAAGGCGGCCCACUGGGCCGGAACUGACGCUGAGGCGCGAAGGCGUGGGGAGCGAACGGG